UUUGGAGUCCACGCGGAAGCUCCUGAGCCGGUAUUUGAAACGUAAACUCGUCGGCUAAAAUGGAAAUACCGGUACCUGGAAACCUGGAACUUGCCUUUUGGAAGCCACCUUUCCCGCCAUCACCUCUGUCUCUCCGGGCUCCCAUAGUCGGCCCUAUGGGCCGCGGGUCGUGUGGUUGCUUGAGAGCAGCCUCCUGGACCUCUGGGUGCUUGACCGGCCAGUACCUAGUCCGGUCUCUUAGAGGGACCAGUGCGGUGCUGUGAAAAGAACCAUCACAGUGGAGACGCCGAGUGCUCCACGCUACCCAUAGGAAACAACGACAAUUCUGGCUCUCAGUUUUUCUGAUUAACUCCAAUUACGACGUUGCUGCACACAUCUCCAACCAGUUUAUGCACAGCUCCAAUUCUGUGCAGGAAGGAUGCAAAACAGCAAACUAUCUGUGGCAGGACUUUCUGGAGCAUCAAUACUAUUAGAAGAUCUGGAAGAAGUGAAAGUCAUUUCCAAGAAGCAUCUCCCCUCCUUGAUAAACACAGAAGAUGAGAGAGAAGAACAGGAGACGAGAAGUACCCCAGGACGACCGUCCAGUCUCUGAAGAUUCACCCAGGUUGGGACAGAGGACCUGCCUACAGCCAGGACCAGCCUCUCCUCUUAUCUCCCCGGUGGCACCCAGCCAUCCUUUAAGCUCACCAUUAUUUUUUGAUUCAGUGCUUUUGAAUGCUAUGGAAGCACAGGUACUCCCUUGAUUUGAAUCCCAUCCAGACCACCUUGGCAGUCUGCACCUGCCAUCCUUCCCUGCCUGUGGUCCUCAGUGUCCCCGCACACAAGCUCCUUGCCCCACUCCCAUCCCCACAGCUGUUUGCUUCAGCGCUGGCCCACCUCCCACACUUGCCACUGGGCUCUGUGGAGCUCAGGGUCUUCUUGCUCCCUAUAUAAAAACAGUCUUUGGUUUUGUCCCUUCUUUGGCUA